AUGGUCUGCCGCCCCACCAGCUAUGGGGGUUUGGGUGUUCUUAACACCGACCAAUUUGCUCGUGCUUUGAGGCUCAGAUGGCUUUGGUUUGAAUGGAAAGAUACGUCCAAGCUCUGGGUCGGCCUGGGCAACCCUUGCACCGAGGAGGACCGUGAUUUUUUCUACGCCUCUACUUCCAUCAUCGUGGGCAAUGGGGCCAAAACGCCUUUUUGGGACUCCCCCUGGCUGCUUGGCCGCAAGCCGAAGGACAUUGCACCUCUCGUCUUUGAGGCCUCGAGGAGAAAGAACUGGAAGGUGCGAGAGGCUAUUACAGAGAAUGCUUGGAUGCUUACGAUCAGACGAGACAUUACCAUCACUGGCCAGCAUGUGCGGGAAUUUUUCACCCUCUGGCUUCUCAUCCAUGACAUACACCUCGACAUCCACUCUGAGGAUGACAUCAUUUGGAAGCACUCUUCGGAUGGCUCAUAUUCGGCGUCCACUGCAUACAAGGCACAAUUUCUGGGUUUGACGCUUUCCCCCAUGGACUCCAUGGUCUGGAAAAUGUGGGCGCCCCCAAAGGUCAAAUUCUUCUCUUGGCUAGCCUUACAAGAUCGGAUUUGGACCGCCUACAGGCUAGAGCGACGUGGCUAG
rnacentral:rRNA from 1 species